UACGGGGGGAGCAAGCGUUGUUCGGAUUUACUGGGCGUAAAGGGCGCGUAGGCGGCCAGCACAAGUCAGUUGUGAAAUCUCCGGGCUUAACUCGGAAAGGUCAACUGAUACUGUGCGGCUAGAGUGCAGAAGGGGCAACUGGAAUUCUCGGUGUAGCGGUGAAAUGCGUAGAUAUCGUUUGGAACGCCAAUGGUGAAAACAAGUAGCUGGGGAUGUGCCGACGCUGAGACACGAAAGCCAGGGGAGCGAACGGG
rnacentral:rRNA from 1 species